GUCAAAGUGGGGGAAAGGAUAUGAACUUAUAGAUGGAAUUGGCCUAUUUAGGAACACUACAUUUGUCUCUGCCGACAGAUGCAGUGAAUCUGUUCGGUCAUUAAUUCAUUCAUGGACUGUUGUGAGAACGUGCCGCGUUAGCUGCUCUCGCGUGCCACCCGCCUUCCCACAGCCGGCCUCCAGUUAGGCGAUGCAAAUUUUUUCGCCAAAUGAAAAGAACGGUGUUAAAUAAAGAUCGUUCCCCUGCCCUUGAUCCUGUGGUGCUGUGAAUCUCCUCCUCAGGUGCCUGGCUGGAAUCUCCCUUGAAAAGCUUUAAUGAGAAACUCUGCGGCCUGUGUGAGGAGCACAAAGGCGAGGUGAGGAGGAAACGGUUUGAUAUUGUGGAAAUUCUCUGAUUCUCCAUCUCGUGGAGUCUUUUUGAUCUAAAUGAAACACAGAGUGCG
ensembl:lncRNA